AUUGAACGCUGGCGGCAUGCCUUACACAUGCAAGUCGAACGGCAGCACGGGGCAACCUGGUGGCGAGUGGCGAACGGGUGAGUAAUGUAUCGGAACGUACCUUUCAGUGGGGGAUAACGUAGCGAAAGUUACGCUAAUACCGCAUAUUCUGUGAGCAGGAAAGCAGGGGAUCGCAAGACCUUGCGCUGAUUGAGCGGCCGAUAUCAGAUUAGCUAGUUGGUGAGGUAAAGGCUCACCAAGGCGACGAUCUGUAGCGGGUCUGAGAGGAUGAUCCGCCACACUGGAACUGAGACACGGUCCAGACACCUACGGGUGGCAGCAGUAGGGAAUAUUGCGCAAUGGGCGAAAGCCUGACGCAGCGAUGCCGCGUGAGUGACGAAGGUCUUAGGAUUGUAAAGCUCUUUUCUGAGGGAAGAAUAGGUCUGGUAGGAAAUGACUGGAUUCUGACGGUACCUCAGGAAUAAGGAACGGCUAACUCCGG
rnacentral:rRNA from 1 species